rnacentral:rRNA from 1 species
UACGUAGGGUGCGAGCGUUAAUCGGAAUUACUGGGCGUAAAGCGUGCGCAGGCGGUUCGUUGUGUCGGCGGUGAAAGCCCCGGGCUCAACCCUGGGAAUGGCCGUUGAAACUGGCGAACUGGAGUGUGGCAGAGGGGGGGUGGAAUUCCGCGUGUAGCAGUGAAAUGCGUAGAGAUGCGGAGGAACACCGAUGGCGAAGGCAGGCCCUGGCUG